GCACCCGUAGCUCAAGUGGUAGAGCAGUUGACUCUUAAUCAAUUGGUUCGGGGUUCGAGUCCCUGCGGGUGCA
rnacentral:tRNA from 1 species